rnacentral:rRNA from 1 species
GACUCCAUGAAGCUGGAUUCGCUGUAAUCGCGCAUCAGCCACGGCGCGGUGAAUACGUUCCCGGGCCUUGUACACACCGCCCGUCAAGCCAUGGAAGCCGGGAGUGCCUGAAGUGCGUGAGCGCAAGCAGCGCCCUAAGGUAAAACCGGUGACUGGGGCUAAGUCGUAACAAGGUACC